rnacentral:sRNA from 1 species
AGCCUUGAUAAAGUUCAAUUUGUGGUC